AACUGCAAGAGUUUAUAGAGCUCCACACGAUGACCGGUAGCUCUAGAGCCUGAAUUGCCAUGUAAAUACAGUACGAUUGGAUUGCCAUUAGCUAAAGAUUGUUCAGUGUUGUCAGAAAGUGUAUCAACCAGGUCUCUGGGCACCUACGUGUACUUUGGGCUCUAUAGAAAUGUAGAAAUUCCUCGCCCCUUUCAAUCCGUGUAUCUUUGGUUGACUAUAAUUCACUUUGAUUGGCCAUCGCAAACUUGCUGUGGCAGAAAAACGAGUUGUCGUUGGAAAGUUGCAGAGUACCGAAAUAUCAAUGGAAGCACUACGUAUAUAACGAUAACAGUAAUUACAACUACUGAGAGAACUAGAUGAUGCAUGCCGGUGACUUGGGGUCUAGAAAGCUAAAUAUUCAAGUUUAGUCUACAUUAAAGCACCAUAACAUUGUCUUUUUUGUCUCUUAUCACUCUCGUGACUUGUUUGCUUUAGUGAUUGUUUACAACCCAAAUGUUCAAGGACAGUUCCUAUUUAUACCUCUUUUGAAAUGCUGGUGGUGAUUUUCUAUU